rnacentral:rRNA from 1 species
UACGUAGGGUGCGAGCGUUGUCCGGAAUUAUUGGGCGUAAAGAGCUCGUAGGCGGUUUGUCGCGUCUGCCGUGAAAGUCCGGGGCUCAACUCCGGAUCUGCGGUGGGUACGGGCAGACUAGAGUGAUGUAGGGGGAGACUGGAAAUUCCUGGUGUAGCGGUGAAAUGACGCAGAUAUCAGGAGGAACACCGAUGGCGAAGGCAGGUCUCUGGGCAUUAACUGACGCUGAGGAGCGAAAGCAUGGGGAGCGAACAGG